UACGGUCAUAUAGCGUUGAAACAUCGGUUCUCGUACAAUCAUCGAAGAUAAACAACGUCUAGUCUGGUCAGUUCGUAGAUGGGUGACCACUUGGGAAUACCAGGUGCUGUAAG